rfam:Schistosoma margrebowiei strain Zambia genome assembly, scaffold: SMRZ_scaffold0004320
AUCCAUCUGACGAGUCCUAAAUAGGAUGAAACGUCCGUCCUGGAU